rnacentral:misc_RNA from 1 species
UCGUAACAAGGUUUCCGUAGGUGAACCUGCGGAAGGAUCAUUACAGUAUUCUUUUGCCAGCGCUUAACUGCGCGGCGAAAAACCUUACACACAGUGUCUUUUUGAUACAGAACUCUUGCUUUGGUUUGGCCUAGAGAUAGGUUGGGCCAGAGGUUUAACAAAACACAAUUUAAUUAUUUUUACAGUUAGUCAAAUUUUGAAUUAAUCUUCAAAACUUUCAACAACGGAUCUCUUGGUUCUCGCAUCGAUGAAGAACGCAGCGAAAUGCGAUAAGUAAUAUGAAUUGCAGAUUUUCGUGAAUCAUCGAAUCUUUGAACGCACAUUGCGCCCUCUGGUAUUCCAGAGGGCAUGCCUGUUUGAGCGUCAUUUCUCUCUCAAACCCCCGGGUUUGGUAUUGAGUGAUACUCUUAGUCGGACUAGGCGUUUGCUUGAAAAGUAUUGGCAUGGGUAGUACUAGAUAGUGCUGUCGACCUCUCAAUGUAUUAGGUUUAUCCAACUCGUUGAAUGGUGUGGCGGGAUAUUUCUGGUAUUGUUGGCCCGGCCUUACAACAACCAAACAAGUUUGACCUCAAAUCAGGUAGGAAUACCCGCUGAACUUAAGCAUAUCAAUAAGCGGAGGAAAAGAAACCAACAGGGAUUGCCUUAGUAGCGGCGAGUGAAGCGGCA